rnacentral:rRNA from 1 species
GUAGUCCACGCCCUAAACGAUGUCAAUUAGCUGUUGGGGCACUUGAUGCCUUAGUAGCGUAGCUAACGCGUGAAAUUGACCGCCUGGGGAGUACGGUCGCAAGAUUAAAACUCAAAGGAAUUGACGGGGACCCGCACAAGCGGUGGAUGAUGUGGAUUAAUUCGAUGCAACGCGAAGAACCUUACCUGGUCUUGACAUGUACGGAAUCUUCCAGAGACGGAAGAGUGCCUUCGGGAGCCGUAACACAGGUGCUGCAUGGCUGUCGUCAGCUCGUGUCGUGAGAUGUUGGGUUAAGUCCCGCAACGAGCGCAACCCUUGUCAUUAGUUGCCACCAUUCAGUUGGGCACUCUAAUGAGACUGCCGGUGACAAACCGGA